AAAAAGGGUCAGUUGGCUAACUAUGCCACGCUCGCUAUAUUCUAGUGGGUGCUGUAUGGCUAUCAAGACAUAUGGCUGACGUAAUUUGUGGAAACUACAGGGUUGGCUCGCUUAGCCGACCCUACA